rnacentral:tRNA from 1 species
AUUUAUGUAGUUUAAAUAAAACAUUACAUUUUCACUGUAAAAAUAUUAAUUUUAAUCAUAAAUU